GCUCGCUUAGCUCAGCGGUAGAGCACCGCCUUCACACGGCGGGAGUCGUAGGUUCGAUCCCUACAGCGAGCACCA
rnacentral:tRNA from 1 species